rnacentral:rRNA from 1 species
AUUGAACGCUGGCGGCAGGCUUAACACAUGCAGGUCGAACGCCCCGCAAGGGGAGUGGCAGACGGGUGAGUAACGCGUGGGAAUCUACCCAGUUCUACGGAACAACUGAGGGAAACUUCAGCUAAUACCGUAUACGCCCUACGGGGGAAAGAUUUAUCGGAAUUGGAUGAGCCCGCGUGGGAUUAGCUAGUUGGUGAGUGAACGGCUCACCAAGGCGACGAUCCAUAGCUGGUCUGAGAGGAUGAUCAGCCACACUGGGACUGGGACACGGCCCGGACUCCUACGGGAGGCAGCGGUGGGGAAUAUUGGACAAUGGGCGCAAGCCUGAUCCAGCCUUGCCGCGUGAGUGAUGAAGGCCUUAGGGUUGUAAAGCUCUUUCAGUGGGGACGAUAAUGACGGUACCCACAGAAGAAGCCCCGGCUAACUUCGUGCCAGCAGCCGCCGUAAUAC